rnacentral:rRNA from 1 species
UACGAAGGGGACUAGCGUUGUUCGGAAUUACUGGGCGUAAAGCGCACGUAGGCGGAUUUGUUAGUCAGGGGUGAAAUCCCGGGGCUCAACCUCGGAACUGCCUUUGAUACUGCAAAUCUCGAGUCCGAUAGAGGUGGGUGGAAUUCCUAGUGUAGAGGUGAAAUUCGUAGAUAUUAGGAAGAACACCGGUGGCGAAGGCGGCCCACUGGAUCGGUACUGACGCUGAGGCGCGAAGCUAGG